GGAGGGUAGCUCAGUGGUAGUGUGCAUGCUUAGCGUGCAUGAGGUCCUGGGUUCAAUCCCCAGUACCUCCA
rnacentral:tRNA from 1 species